rnacentral:rRNA from 1 species
CCUACGUGAGGCAACAGUGAGGAAUAUUGGUCAAUGGCCGGAAGGCUGAACCAGCCAAGCCGCGUGAAGGACGAAGGUGCCAAGCAUUGUAAACUUCUUUUGUCAAGGGAUAAACUGAGGCUCGAGAGCCUUAUCGCGGGUACUUGAAGAAUAAGCAUCGGCUAACUCCGUGCCAGCAGCCGCGGUAAUACGGAGGAUGCGAGCGUUAUCCGGAUUUAUUGGGUUUAAAGGGUGCGUGGGCGGCCUGUUAAGUCAGCGGUAAAAGCCCGGGGCCAACCCCGGCGAGCCGUUGGAACUGGCGGUCUGGAGAGGGCGAGAGGUAGGCGGAAUGCGCAGUGUAGCGGUGAAAUGCUUAGAUAUUGCGCAGAACUCCGAUUGCGAAGGCAGCAUACCGGAGGGGAUCUGACGCUGAGGCACGAAGGCGUGGGUAUCGAACAGGAUUAGAUACCCGAGUAGUC